rnacentral:rRNA from 1 species
UUAAAGUAGUAAGGGCGCAGGGUGGAUGCCUUGGCACUAAGAGCCGAUGAAAGACGUGAUAAGCUGCGAAAAGCUUCGGGGAGGAGCACAUAUCCAAUGAUCCGGAGAUAUCUGAAUGGGGAAACCCGGCAGAGGAAACCUCUGUCAGCGUGCAGUGAAUACAUAGCUGUACGUGGGGAACCCGGGGAACUGAAACAUCUAAGUACCCGGAGGAAGAGAAAGAAAAUUUAUCGAUUUCCAAAGUAGCGGCGAGCGAAAUGGAAAGAGCCCAAACCGUGAUGCGUGCAUCGCGGGGUUCGGACUGCGUUGUGGCAGACGUAAGAUAGGAGAACGGACUGGGAAGUCCGGCCGGAGAGAGUGAAAGCCUCGUAUCCGAAAUCCCAAGUCGCCUAGCAGGAUCCAGAGUAGGACGAGACACGAGAAACCUUGUCUGAACGAGCGGGGACCACCCCGUAAGGCUAAAUACUUCUUAGUGACCGAUAGCGCAUAGUACUGUGAAGGAAAGGUGAAAAGUACCCCGGGAGGGGAGUGAAAGAGAACCUGAAACCCUGUGUCUACAAGCUGUGGGACCUCUUUAUAUGAGGGACUGCGUACUUUUUGUAGAACGGUCCGGCGAGUUGUGCGUACUGGCGAGGUUAAGGACUUAAGGUCUGGAGCCGAAGUGAAAGCAAGCGUUAAGAGCGCGUCAAGUCAGUGAGUGCAGACCCGAAACCGGGUGACCUAUCCAUGUCCAGGUUGAAGCUUCCGUAAGAGGAAGUGGAGGACCGAACCCACAUCCGUUGAAAAGGGUGGGGAUGAGGUGUGGAUAGCGGAGAAAUUCCAAUCGAACCCGGAGAUAGCUGGUUCUCCUCGAAAUAGCUUUAGGGCUAGCCUCAUGAGAGUCUUAUGGAGGUAGAGCACUGAAUUGCCUAGGGGGCGUCAAAGCUUACCAAAGCAUAUCAAACUCCGAAUGCCAUCAAGAUGAUUCAUGGGAGUCAGACCAUACGAGAUAAGUUGGAUGGUCAAAAGGGAAAGAGCCCAGACCUACAGCUAAGGUCCCAAAGUGCGUGUUAAGUGGAAAAGGAUGUGGGGAUUCUAAGACAACUAGGACGUUGGCUUAGAAGCAGCCAUUCAUUGAAAGAGUGCGUAAUAGCUCACUAGUCGAGAGUCCCUGCGCCGAAAAUGUCCGGGGCUGAAACACGACACCGAAGCUUAGGAAUGUGUAAACAUUGGUAGAGGAGCAUUGCUAGCGGGAUGAAGCCAUACCGUAAGGAGUGGUGGACUGCUAGGAAGAGAGAAUGCCGGAAUGAGUAGCGAGAUGAAGGUGAGAAUCCUUCAGGCCGAAUAUCUAAGGUUUCCAGAGUAAAGCUGAUCUGCUCUGGGUAAGUCGGGACCUAAGGCGAGGUCGAAAGACGUAGUCGAUGGAUAACAGGUUGAAAUUCCUGUACCGCAUAUAAACAGAACUGUGGGGACACAGACAGGGAAUGGAAUCCGGGAGUGGAGAUCCCGGUGCAAGCGAGGUAGGAGUGCUGUUGGCAAAUCCGCAGCACGAUCUGAAGACGUGACGCGUACCGAACAUAAGUAGGGAAGUCCAGGCCCCUGGCUGUCAAGAAAAGCCGCUAUUGUUUUAUAUGUGCCCGUACCGCAAACCGACACAGGUGGAUGAGGAGAGAAUCCUAAGGCCGACGGGAGAAGUAUUGUUAAGGAACUCGGCAAAAUGACUCCGUAACUUCGGGAGAAGGAGUGCCAUGAGAGUGGCCGCAGAGAAAUGGCCCAAGCAACUGUUUAGCAAAAACACAGGUCUAUGCAAAACCGCAAGGUGAAGUAUAUGGGCUGACGCCUGCCCGGUGCUGGAAGGUUAAGGGGAGAGGUUAGCGCAAGCGAAGCUUUGAACUUAAGCCCCAGUAAACGGCGGCCGUAACUAUAACGGUCCUAAGGUAGCGAAAUUCCUUGUCGGGUAAGUUCCGACCC